GAAAUGCGAUACGUAAUGUGAAUUGCAUAAAUCAGUGGAUCAUCGAAUCUUUGAACGCACAUUGCGCCUUCUGGUAUUCCGGGAGGCAUGCUUGUUUGAGACUCAGUAAACACCUCGACUUCUCCAAGCCUCUCUCUGAAGAGGCUGUGGUGCAAGUCGGACUUGAGCACUCUCCAAACUCCCCUCAUAACUUGAGAGGAAUGUGCGGAAGGCUUAAAAUGCAGGUACAGCUGGGACUUCACAUUUCAAUGUCCAAGGCCACAAGCAUUUCUGUCUAGUCCGGUCAAAUGGAUUAUCUCAAAUCAAGUAAGACUACCCGCUGAACUUAA
rnacentral:misc_RNA from 1 species